rnacentral:rRNA from 1 species
UCCACGCAGUAAACGAUGAAUGUUAGUCGUUGGGUAGCUAGUCUAUUCAGUGAUGCAGUUAACACAUUAAACAUUCCGCCUGGGGAGUACGGUCGCAAGAUUAAAACUCAAAGGAAUAGACGGGGACCCGCACAAGUGGUGGAGCAUGUGGUUUAAUUCGAAAAUACGCGAAGAACCUUACCUAGCCUUGACAUAUUUGAAAAUCCACCAGAGAUGGAGGAGUGCCUUCGGGA